GAGGAUAUAGCUCAGUGGUAGAGUGUGUGUUUUGCAUGCACAUGGCCCUGGUUUCAAUCCCCAGUACUUUUA
rfam:Camelus ferus unplaced genomic scaffold scaffold2519, whole genome shotgun sequence.